rnacentral:lncRNA from 1 species
GCUGCAGGAACCAGACUGGGGGCGAGCUGAGCACCUGUAGUCAAUCACACGCAGAAAUAAUAAUGAUACUUAUGUUAGAAGAUUGUUUUGAGAAGUGCAUGGAGUUACUACAUCUGAAGCAUUUAGAACAGUACCUGGCACAGGGAAAAACCAGCUCUCACACCUGCUCCUCUGUAAAGCGUCUUCCCCAAGCCCACACGUAAUUUUGUUGCUGUCCUUGAAAGUAUUUCCCAAGAUCUCCAAACCGCUUUAAACUUCCAAGGUCUGAGCCUGACCUGGCCUCGCUAACAAAGGGUUCCACUGAUGCCGACUCUAAGAAGAAAGUUUUCAAGGUUCUUCGUAUUUGAACUUUCUAUGGCUAGGCUUAUGUUUAAAAUAACCACACUGAUUUAAACAUGGUCUUAUAGUCUUCAGUGGCUCCCAGGUCUUGCCUCUCGGGUUUUUUUUCCUCUUUCCUUUGAAUGUGCCUUAACCUUCGUCUUGCUUUUAUUUACCUCUGAGUCUGGUUUAGAGCCACCUGGAAAUUGAAUGGAAUCUUUAGUCUAUUAGUCUAAUCUAGAGUCCUUACCUUCUGGCCUUUGCUCAUUGCAGAGCCCCCACAUUAUUAGUCAGUUGUACCACAGAUACUGUGUUACAUAAGGUGAGGAGAGGGAGGUGGUGUUAUCAGUUCCACUUUUUCCAGGCUAGAGUGCAGUGGCCCGAUCUCGGUGCACUGCAACCUCUGCUUCCCGGGUUCAAGCGAUUUUCCUGCCUCAGCCUCUCAUUUUAUCUUGGAUAAAAGAGAAGCUUUGAAAGAUUGCCUCCCUAUGUGUACAGUCACUGUAGGCAUGUAUUUGUGUACUGUUUACUUAGUCAUGUCAAUGAGGGCAAUAAAAAA